UUAUUCGGUUAUUUCAAUUCGGUUAUUCGGUUUAGUAUUUUGGGCCAAAAAGAUUUUGAAAAGUAGGCUUUUUUGUGCAAAUAAAAACACAAUGGCCUGGGCUUUUUGUGCAAAAAACACAUGGCCUGCUAACAAGAAAAACAAAAGAUUUGUCUUUUCUCUCAGAUUAGGUUCACGAAGAAGAACACAAAUUAGCUUCAUCUCCUCCAGUUUACGCUUCCAGGUUCUCACAUUUGACACGAUCGUACGAGGUCACAAUUUACCGACCGACGAGCGUCCGAUGAAUCCCGAAGACACCGGCGACGAGAUCUGAAAGGCGGAGCUCACGGUAUAGAAGAAGAAGAAGAUGAUGAU